rnacentral:rRNA from 1 species
CCCUUAGAUGUUCUGGGCCGCACGCGCGCUACACUGAUGCAUUCAACGAGCCUAUCCUUGACCGACAGGUCCGGGUAAUCUUUGAAUCUGCAUCGUGACGGGGAUAGAUUAUUGCAAUUAUUAAUCUUCAACGAGGAAUGCCUAGUAGGCGCAAGUCAUCAGCUUGCGUCGAUUACGUCCCUGCCCUUUGUACACACCGCCCGUCGCUCCUACCGAUUGGGUGUGCUGGUGAAAUGUUCGGAUCGGCCGUUUGUCGCGGUUUCCGCGGCUCGUGGCUGAGAAGUUCAUUAAACCCUCCCACCGAGAGGAAGGAGAAGUCGUAACA